UCUUGUGUUCUCUCAGGAUUCCUUUCUAACACCUUCAUUUUGCCUAAAUAGUCAAAUAACUUAUCCAGAUAUACACAUUAACAGACAGGCUCUUCUAAGCAAUCAUAAUUACUUUUCAUUGUCUACUUUCCUUCUGGAAAAAGCACCUAGAAUUACAGAGACAAGUCCCAACACUGAAGCAUUUUUGACAGAGGGAAGAAAUUAGCUCUGAGAAGAUUGUCACACAGAGCACCACAUGGGGGCAGCAGAUAUUGCUAUAAAUUGAAAAUACUGGCAAAUCCUUUGUACACCCAUGUCCAUUGCUGAGUGUGCCAAGUUCCAUGGACCUUUAGUCAAAAGGAAAGAUGUUUUCUAUCCAAAAUGAGGAGCAAAGAAUCCCGUGAAAACUGCUGCUGUCUCCACCUUUGAAUGUAAUCCUGAAUCCAGUUGCCUGGAUGAAACAGUACAGAUUAAGGAUCAGUUCACCACAUUUUUGACUGAGUCAUGUUUGAAGCUACCUGCACCAUCUCUCACUCAGCCAGAGAUGUCAGAGCAUGGCAGAGUUCUCCUGUUAGAAUACAGCAACAAAACAGAAGUUUGUGUUGGUGAAUUCAAAGCGGUCACAAGACAGCUUGCUGUGUGCACGGUCAGCAGAGGUCCACCUGCUAAGAGAAGGCCUUACACAUCUUUGUGUUUCAUGCAGUUCAGAAGGAUAAGUCAAAUGGAAUGAAAGGAACUUUGAUGGGGAAGCCCAGUAAGCAUGAAAAAAAAUGAAAGGAACAAAUAACCAUAAAAACAGCAAAAUAGUUUAGAUGUCAGCUGUGGCAUUGCCUUCCUUAUCUCAGUAAGUACAUCCAAAGCUGCAAGAGUCACAAUCCAGACCUUUAUGUCUCAAACAUACUUUCAUAGGUUAUUAAUGUCUAACAUAUAUGUCCUUCUAAAAUUCCUCUCUCCAUAAAAAUCAAGUAAUUUUAUGACAAGAAACUUCUCCUAGGCACUAAACUACAUUAUUAGUCCAGAGAAUUAGCCCAUGUAAUUUACCAAGUGCUUGAACAAAAAGAACCAUGGGAAUAUCUUAUUUCUCAAAUGCUGAAAUGCUCACUAAAAUGACCCGAUACACCAACACCUCAUACAUCAAACAUUUUGGUGGAUUUGGCCACAAGUAAGAGUAAGAUUAAUUUUGAAUUGAUACAAUCAGAGUAGUGGAUUAAGGCAUAAGUAUGAGCAGUAAAAGCUAGCUCCUAAGCAAUCUGAUGUAAAUCCAAGAGAAAGAAUCAAUUGCCAAGGGCACAGUUGACAUAAUUGCAAAAAGAUCUGGAAGAAAAUAUUAAAUCUCUCAUUAACAUUUUACCAAAGUAGAUUCCAGAAACCUUAUAGUAUUACAAGUGUUUAAAAAUUAAAUCAUGAAGUUAAAGGCAUGUUUAUAAGUGUAUAUAAAGACAUAUUUCAUUGGC